rnacentral:rRNA from 1 species
GACGGAGGGUGCUAGCGUUGUUCGGAAUCACUGGGCGUAAAGGGCGCGUAGGCGGCCUUGCAAGUCGGUUGGUGAAAGCCCGGGGCUCAACCCCGGAGGUGCGGCCGAGACUGCAGGGCUGGAGGCCGGAAGAGGAGGGUGGAAUACCCAGUGUAGAGGUGAAAUUCGUAGAUAUUGGGUGGAACACCGGUGGCGAAGGCGGCUCUCUGGUCCGGACCUGACGCUGAGGCGCGAAAGCGUGGGGAGCAAACAGG